GAUCCUGGCUCAGGAUGAACGCUGGCGGCGUGCUUAACACAUGCAAGUCGAACGGGAAAUACUUUAUUGAAACUUCGGUCGAUUUAAUUUAUUUCUAGUGGCGGACGGGUGAGUAACGCGUGGGUAACCUGCCUUAUACUGGGGGAUAACAGCCAGAAAUGACUGCUAAUACCGCAUAAGCGCACAGAACCGCAUGGUUCCGUGUGAAAAACUCCGGUGGUAUAAGAUGGACCCGCGUCCGAUUAGCUAGUUGGUG
rnacentral:rRNA from 1 species